rnacentral:rRNA from 1 species
UACGUAGGCAGCAAGCGUUGUUCGGAAUUACUGGGCGUAAAGAGUGUGUAGGCGGUGUUCUAAGUUUGUCGUGAAAUCUCCCGGCUUAACUGGGAGGGUGCGGCGAAAACUGGAAUGCUAGAGGAUGGGAGAGGUAAGCGGAAUUCCUGGUGUAGCGGUGAAAUGCGUAGAUAUCGGAAGGAACACCAGUGGCGAAAGCGGCUCCUGGUCCAGCACCGACGUCAGGCACGAAAGCGUGGGGAGCAAACAGG